UAGUGUGUUUCCUUCUAAUAAACCUGGAACUGCAUACUAAAUAUUGUUGGCUCUGUGUCAAAUUGCUUGUUUUGUUCCUAGAUUCUUCAAUGCUGAUGGCCUGCUGCACCCCAGCAGAGUUGGAGCGAACCUCCUUGUCAGACUACAUCUCCAAGAUGCUAUUGACCAUUAGACUAGGUUAUUAGAAACUGCACAGCACCAGGACUUGUGAGGACUUCAGAUGAUGCCAAUACUCAAAAAGACCUUAGAUGAUGGCAACUAUAGAUGGACAUACAAACUACCGCCACUGCAACAGACCAGGAAGUCGAACACUGGGUUAAAAGAUGGCUGCAGCUUGCCAGAGAUGGGAUGGAGGCCAGGAGAGAAGAUUUAAAGGUUGUUGGUAUCGGACUGCUUUUUGGCUCUGACCCUCGCUUGCCCCUGACCUCGUGUCUGAAUUACCCUCUGGAUUGAUGUUUUCUUUGGACUGCUUUCUGGUUUUGACCUCUGCCUGUUUCAUGGACUCCCCUUUUGCCCGGCUCAUGGUUAGUUAGCUAGUUAUCGAACUGUUGAUUUGAAUUCUCUAUUUCUUUGACUCCUCUUGCAGAAAUUUGUUGUGCUCCUCUGGUUAGCAAUGUAUCAGUUCAGUGAGAAUAGUUGAAUGCAUAUACUUUAAUGGAAUUCUGUAUGUAUCGGUUAUAGAGCUGUGCAAAUAAUCGAAUCACGA